UUCCCCCGUAAACGAAGCUGGCCCAGGAAACCAUAGAACCAAUCCCUUGUCAAUUAGUUCUUUAUUUUCUGGAUGAUAGAUGGACUUAAGGUAAGCAUAACGCGGUUUUAGCUCAUGACGCAAACCAACAAGAGUUUGGAGUGCAUACUUAGUGCGCGGCCCUGACACGCGUAUAACAGAGACUCCACACUUGCCGUAGCCUGGGUGUUUAAAAAAUGUGUUGAUAAAGUCAAUUGUUGACUUACAGAAUUAAAAGGGUACGGUUUAGUUAUUUGCCCAAUGAUUUCGGGCUAUUGUGUCCGAAUGGGUGACCCGAUCCAAAAAAUUAUUUUCGGUCACUAAUUUGUUAAUAAAUUAGAUCGGAAAAUA